AGUCUUAACUGGGCGUUAAGUUGCAGGGUAUAGACCCGAAACCCGGUGAUCUAGCCAUGGGCAGGUUGAAGGUUGGGUAACACUAACUGGAGGACCGAACCGACUAAUGUUGAAAAAUUAGCGGAUGACUUGUGGCUGGGGGUGAAAGGCCAAUCAAACCGGGAGAUAGCUGGUUCUCCCCGAAAGCUAUUUAGGUAGCGCCUCGUGAAUUCAUCUCCGGGGGUAGAGCACUGUUUCGGCAAGGGGGUCAUCCCGACUUACCAACCCGAUGCAAACUGCGAAUACCGGAGAAUGUUAUCACGGGAGACACACGGCGGGUGCUAACGUCCGUCGUGAAGAGGGAAACAACCCAGACCGCCAGCUAAGGUCCCAAAGUCAUGGUUAAGUGGGAAACGAUGUGGGAAGGCCCAGACAGCCAGGAUGUUGGCUUAGAAGCAGCCAUCAUUUAAAGAAAGCGUAAUAGCUCACUGGUCGAGUCGGCCUGCGCGGAAGAUGUAACGGGGCUAAACCAUGCACCGAAGCUGCGGCAGCGACGCUGAUGCGUUGUUGGGUAGGGGAGCGUUCUGUAAGCCUGUGAAGGUGUGCUGUGAGGCAUGCUGGAGGUAUCAGAAGUGCGAAUGCUGACAUAAGUAACGAUAAAGCGGGUGAAAAGCCCGCUCGCCGGAAGACCAAGGGUUCCUGUCCAACGUUAAUCGGGGCAGGGUGAGUCGACCCCUAAGGCGAGGCCGAAAGGCGUAGUCGAUGGGAAACAGGUUAAUAUUCCUGUACUUGGUGUUACUGCGAAGGGGGGACGGAGAAGGCUAUGUUGGCCGGGCGACGGUUGUCCCGGUUUAAGCGUGUAGGCUGGUUUUCCAGGCAAAUCCGGAAAACUAAGGCUGAGGCGUGAUGACGAGGCACUACGGUGCUGAAGCAACAAAUGCCCUGCUUCCAGGAAAAGCCUCUAAGCAUCAGGUAACAUCAAAUCGUACCCCAAACCGACACAGGUGGUCAGGUAGAGAAUACCAAGGCGCUUGAGAGAACUCGGGUGAAGGAACUAGGCAAAAUGGUGCCGUAACUUCGGGAGAAGGCACGCUGAUAUGUAGGUGAAGUCCCUCGCGGAUGGAGCUGAAAUCAGUCGAAGAUACCAGCUGGCUGCAACUGUUUAUUAAAAACACAGCACUGUGCAAACACGAAAGUGGACGUAUACGGUGUGACGCCUGCCCGGUGCCGGAAGGUUAAUUGAUGGGGUCAGCGCAAGCGAAGCUCUUGAUCGAAGCCCCGGUAAACGGCGGCCGUAACUAUAACGGUCCUAAGGUAGCGAAAUUCCUUGUCGGGUAAGUUCCGACCUGCACGAAUGGCGUAAUGAUGGCCAGGCUGUCUCCACCCGAGACUCAGUGAAAUUGAACUCGCUGUGAAGAUGCAGUGUACCCGCGGCAAGACGGAAAGACCCCGUGAACCUUUACUAUAGCUUGACACUGAACAUUGAGCCUUGAUGUGUAGGAUAGGUGGGAGGCUUUGAAGUGUGGACGCCAGUCUGCAUGGAGCCGACCUUGAAAUACCACCCUUUAAUGUUUGAUGUUCUAACGUUGACCCGUAAUCCGGGUUGCGGACAGUGUCUGGUGGGUAGUUUGACUGGGGCGGUCUCCUCCUAAAGAGUAACGGAGGAGCACGAAGGUUGGCUAAUCCUGGUCGGACAUCAGGAGGUUAGUGCAAUGGCAUAAGCCAGCUUGACUGCGAGCGUGACGGCGCGAGCAGGUGCGAAAGCAGGUCAUAGUGAUCCGGUGGUUCUGAAUGGAAGGGCCAUCGCUCAACGGAUAAAAGGUACUCCGGGGAUAACAGGCUGAUACCGCCCAAGAGUUCAUAUCGACGGCGGUGUUUGGCACCUCGAUGUCGGCUCAUCACAUCCUGGGGCUGAAGUAGGUCCCAAGGGUAUGGCUGUUCGCCAUUUAAAGUGGUACGCGAGCUGGGUUUAGAACGUCGUGAGACAGUUCGGUCCCUAUCUGCCGUGGGCGCUGGAGAACUGAGGGGGGCUGCUCCUAGUACGAGAGGACCGGAGUGGACGCAUCACUGGUGUUCGGGUUGUCAUGCCAAUGGCACUGCCCGGUAGCUAAAUGCGGAAGAGAUAAGUGCUGAAAGCAUCUAAGCACGAAACUUGCCCCGAGAUGAGUUCUCCCUGACUCCUUGAGAGUCCUGAAGGAACGUUGAAGACGACGACGUUGAUAGGCCGGGUGUGUAAGCGCAGCGAUGCGUUGAGCUAACCGGUACUAAUGAACCGUGAGGCUUAACCU
rnacentral:rRNA from 1 species